rnacentral:rRNA from 1 species
GAUGGACGCUGGCGGCGUGCCUAAUACAUGCAAGUCGAGCGAACGGACGAGAAGCUUGCUUCUCUGAUGUUAGCGGCGGACGGGUGAGUAACACGUGGAUAACCUACCUAUAAGACUGGGAUAACUUCGGGAAACCGGAGCUAAUACCGGAUGAUAUUUUGAACCGCAUGGUUCAAAUGUGAAAGACGGUCUUGCUGUCACCUAUAGAUGUAUCCGCGCUGCAUUAGCUAGUUGGUAAGGUAACGGCUUACCAAGGCAACGAUGCAUAGACGACCUGAGAGGGUGAUCGGCCACACUGGAACUGAGACACGGUCCAGACUCCUACGGGAGGCAGCAGUAGGGAAUCUUCCGCGAUGGAGGAGAGCCUGACGGAGCAACGCCGAGUGAGUGAUGAAGGUGUUCGGAUCGCAAAACGCUGUUAUAAGGGAAGAACAUAUGUGUAAGUAACUGUGCACAUACUGACGGUACCUGAUCAGAAAGCCACGGCUAACUACGUG